rnacentral:rRNA from 1 species
GACAGAGGCCUCAAGCGUUAGGCGGAAUCACUGGGCUUAAAGCGUGUGUAGGCGGAUCGUUAAGUGCCUUGUGAAAUCCCACGGCUUAACUGUGGAACGGCUGGGCAUACUGGCGGUCUUGAGCCCUCUAGGGGCGACUGGAACAAACGGUGGAGCGGUGAAAUGCGUAGAUAUCGUUUGGAACGCCAAAGGUGAAAACAGGUCGCUGGGGAGGCGCUGACGCUGAGACACGAAAGCCAGGGGAGCAAACGGG